UUUUCCGUAGAAUGAAGUUGGAAGAAUAAGGCUGGAGGAUAUUCAGUGGGAGAGAACUACCUUUGCUAAGCAGUGACUCUGAGUCCAGGCAUAAAAUAUACUCUUUAUGUAGAAAUCUGAUUUAAUCCUCAUUAUUCCCCUAUGAAGUAAGGAUUCUUACUUUCAUUUUUCAGAAAGAAAACAGAGGCUUAAUGAGGCAAAGGCAACAUGUCCAAGACCACACAGCUGACUGCUUCAAUAAAUAUCCUUGAACAUACAUCACGUCAUGUGUGUGAGAGAAAGAGGGAGACAGAGAGGCAGAGAGAUACAGAAGGAGAGAAUGAGAGAGAGAAGACGUGAAGAUGCAGAGUCAAGGGCACGAGUGUUUUGAGAUGUGGAGAAUAUUUGCCCCCCUUCUUUAUAUGUGCGCUGGCUGCUCAUGUGCUGACUAGGUGGGGCUGGCCUGUGGACUCCCUGACUGAUGGGAGGAAACUGUCAGAGAUACCAAGAUAUACGCUGUUUGUCUCAGUUCUUGUGACAACACGGUGAGGCAUGGAG